rnacentral:lncRNA from 1 species
CCAGUAGUUUCAGAGGAGAAGAUUCUUGAAAUAGUUUACGACGACAGACGACGACGGAUGGCAUAAGCUCACUUGUCCCUUCGGGACAGGUGAGCUAAAAAUGGUAAAAAAUUGACUAUAAAGGGCAAUAACUCCUAAACGGGUCAACUGACCAUUUCGGUCAUGUUGACUUAUUUGUAAAUCUUACUUUGCUGAACAUUAUUGCUGUUUACAGUUUAUCUCUAUCUAUAAUAAUAUUCAAGAUAAUAACCAAAAAAA